rnacentral:rRNA from 1 species
UGGGGAAUUUUGGACAAUGGGCGAAAGCCUGAUCCAGCAAUGCCGCGUGUGUGAAGAAGGCCUUCGGGUUGUAAAGCACUUUUGUCCGGAAAGAAAUCCUUGGCUCUAAUACAGUCGGGGGAUGACGGUACCGGAAGAAUAAGCACCGGCUAACUACGUGCCAGCAGCCGCGGUAAUACGUAGGGUGCAAGCGUUAAUCGGAAUUACUGGGCGUAAAGCGUGCGCAGGCGGUUUGCUAAGACCGAUGUGAAAUCCCCGGGCUCAACCUGGGAACUGCAUUGGUGACUGGCAGGCUAGAGUAUGGCAGAGGGGGGUAGAAUUCCACGUGUAGCAGUGAAAUGCGUAGAGAUGUGGAGGAAUACCGAUGGCGAAGGCAGCCCCCUGGGCCAAUACUGACGCUCAUGCACGAAAGCGUGGGGAGCAAACAGGAUUAGAUACCCUGGUAGUCCACGCCCUAAACGAUGUCAACUAGUUGUUGGGGAUUCAUUUCCUAGUAACGUAGCUAACGCGUGAAGUUGACCGCCUGGGGAGUACGGUCGCAAGAUUAAAACUCAAAGGAAUUG